UUAUUUUUUUUUUUCCCGCUCUCAGCCUCCGGUUCUCUCAGGAAUGGCCACGUUCCUUUCCCACUCCUCUUUGACAAGAUUAGUCUACAAUAUUCUAUCCUCCAAGCUCCUUCACCGAUGCAGCUGGGGCUAAUAAGUAGUGGUACUUUACCUGGUCGUUUCUUCUCCCUUUUUAUUUGUCCUCCCAACCGCUUGCAGAUUGAAUAAUACAAGUUAUAGAAAGAUGAGUAGGGAUCAUCAGACUGAUUUACCACAGGUACAAAACAGUAGUAGCGUGCAGAAUUACGGUAACGUGUUGGACAUUUACCCGCUGAACUGCUACUAUUUUGGCUCCAAAGAAGCUGUUCCGUUUAAGGACGAGACUACGUCCGAUCGUAUCCUUCGAAUGAAAUUCAACUAUGAUGCUCAUGGAUUAAGGACCUGUGUGCAAGCUGUAAUGCUGGUCAGAACUCCAUUUAACUCCUGCAUUUUUAACUUCUCCUUUUACAAUUGCUUGUGAAUUUUUGAUAGACCUUGUUAAGUGAUCGAUACAGCUGAUGUAUUUUGUGAUUUUUGCAUUUUCUUAACUUACUCAAUGAUUUUUUUUUGCAUUUUCUACUUACAGCUGAUGUAUUUCGUGAUUUUGGUUAAGUGAUCGAGGUGAAUAUUGUUUUUUGUCCCCGGGAGAGGGGGAGCUUGAGAUACUAUCUGAGAUUUCGUUGGCUAAUGUUUGUAUGUUUUUUUUAAACUGUGAAUAAGAAUGAAGGAAUAAUUUUAAUGUAAUAAUAAUAAUAAAAAAUUUAAUGUAAUAAGGGGUCAUGCCUGGUAAGAUUUUUGCAAAUAUUACUAACAUUACUCUUUCUGAAAAUAGACUUUAUUCCGACAAAAUCAUGUUAAAAAUCUGAGGCAUUGAGGAAGGAUUUGAUAUGGAGUUGGCGGGUAAAGGAAUUUAAGAAACAAAAAGGAAAAUAGAACAAAGUGAGAAGAAGGUGAUACUGUCAGCAAAAUUAGUUCUGUCUGUUAUCAAGCAUUUUCGCUUAUGUUGGUGAGUUACAAGUUAUAUACUGAGAAAACCUUCCCCAUCUAGUGGCCUAUUUAUCAGCUUGACUGUUGAAUGGCCGGUGGAAAGUUGACCUAUGCUGAAAUUUAAGCAUUGAUUGGAGUAUCUCUUUGUUUUUUACACAAGAUGUCAUGGUGUUUGGCCCUGUGAGAUCGAUUAACUGUAAUGGUUUAUAUAUGUGAACCAACAACUAAAUGGAGGCACUCGUCAGAAAAAAUCAUAUCCAAAUAGACAAGUAUUAGGCUUUAUUCAUAGCUGAACAUCAGAACCGCACCAAGUCUUUCGCACUAAAGUUUGUGUUUCUGAUCUUCACUUCCCAGUAUCAAUGAAAGAUUGAGGCUCAAUCUGUUUUUAAGUGUCCUUAGUUGGUUUGCGCCAUUAUAAUGAUCUUUCAACUUUUCUUUGGUUCACUAGAAGCAACAGAUUAUGGCUUUCCUGCAGUUUCUUCUACUUACUUUCAAUUUUGAGGAAAAAUGUGGUAACAUUCUAUGUUGAUAUCUUGUUAUAUACAACUGUGUGAGGAAACAAGUUUUAGAGGCCCAUUGAUGAAUUGGGGGUAGCAGUCCUCAGCUUGAUUGAGCCUUUUUUCAGUUAAUAAAGUGGCUGUUGUCAAGCCUGAUGUCCUAGCAUGUUCUAUAGAUAUACUUGAAAUUAAAAUUGUUGUUGGACCUGUUUAUUAUGAUCUGAAUAUCUCUCAGGACUAAAAGGGGUUGAGCUACAAUUAGGAGGAUUUGGAAUUUUCUUUGCAAAUACCGUAGGUCAAAAUGCUGGUUUAGGAAAUGAUAGUCUGCACCCCUGUGGAAUAAUAGAGUUCAUAGUUAAUGUGUCUCCAUCAGUGUAUGAUUCCUAUAUGUAUAGUGCAAUUUGUAGUUUCUAUGAAUGCGAGAGAUGGAGUAUGAGGCCAUUUACUUUCCCUGACCUAGAUUACUUGUGUAAUUAGUUCUUUUAUUGAUGAAUAGAUAAAGUAACUGUUACAGGUUGAAUUGUUCAAGCACCCCCACGUAUUGCUGUUGCAAGCACGGAACUCGAUCUAUAAGCUUCCAGGUGGUCGUUUGAGGACAGGUGAAUCAGAUAUACAAUGCUUAAAGCGCAAACUAUCAAGCAAGUUAUCUGCUGUUGGAGAUUGUAGUGCGCCUGAUUGGGAGGUGGGCGAAUGCCUUGGUAUGUGGUGGAGGCCUGAUUUUGAUGCAUUACUUUAUCCCUAUCUGCCACCUAAUAUAAAAAGGCCAAAGGAGUGCACAAAACUCUUUCUUGUGAAGUUGCCUGAGAGUCAGAAAUUCACGGUACCGAGGAAUCUCAAGCUUCUUGCAGUACCUCUAUGUCAACUUCAUGAAAACCACAAGACUUACGGACCAAUAAUAUCAGGAGUACCGCAGCUGCUAUCCAAAUUCUCCUUCAACAUCAUAGAGAGCUGAAAUUUUUGCACUAGAAAUUUCCUUGAUAUAGUGUGGCAGCAAUUAGAAACUACAUCAUAGGAUUAUGACGUACAGUUAUACAAAUCACUUGUACAUGUGAACUGGAUCUCUUUUUUUUUGUUUUGUUUUUUUCCCACUCUCUUUCUUGUCAAUAUGUAUUUAUGGAUGGUCUCAGACUCAUGUAUUGCUCCGUUCUCCUGCAUAAUGCUAUAGACUGAGUUUAAGAUUUUUUCUUUUUCUAAAGUUCAUAGUUGCAACAGAAGAAGUGGAAUUUAUGAGCAUGUGAAAGAACAUGCUCAUCAACAUAACAUACAAUGCACCAAGAGGUUUCGUCGUCGUCACGUGCCGCGCACGUGAGCUGUGUAAGUCUGCGCUUCUCCAAAUGCUCCAUUGGAAUGGUUCGGGUAAUUGGGUCGCCCAUGGGUUUUCUGCUUUGGAAUGGAUGGCCGUACCAGUUCCUUUCCUUUCCCAGCUCUCACAGCUGCAUUGUCCAGAGCUAACAGUAGAGCUUCCUCAAGAAUGGUAAUUGGUGUGAUUUAUCAUGGCUGUGUCUUCCGAUGUCGUCCGAAUUCCAAGACGGGUUGGUUGUGCCCUUUUUUCCUAGGGUUUUCUCAUCUGCUUUUUUCAUUUCCAUUUUCUGAAAUUGGUUGUGCCCUUGAACCCGUUCCCCUUUUUGAGCUCCUUCCUCUCACCGCCUUCUCUGGCCAGCUUGAUUGCGAGCUUGGUUUCAUCUUCUUCGUGCGUUUUAAGCUCGGUCUCCCCGAGUUUCUUUUACUGGUGCAUUUUUCCUCUGCGUAUUUGCUGCGUAUCCUUUUUUCCUUUGAUUUUGCUUUUCUCGUUGGCUUGUGAAGGCCACCGAAUUUCUCAUUUUCUCUUAAAUGUGGUCUCAAACAACCUUUUCCAUUCCAAAUCUGGGCGGCUCCGCAGAACCCUAAUCCACAGUUAAGGAGGGAAAACGUAAGAAGAAUCAGCAGCGAUGGCGGUGCCUUUGCUUUUGAAGAAGACAGUGAAGAAAAGGGUCAAGAAGUUCAAGCAACCCCAGAGCGACCGAAAAAUCUCCGUCAAGGUUAUUUUACUGGUUUUCAUCCUAGCCUUGUGCAUUCGGCUUUGGAAUCUAUAGCAAAGGAAUGGCUACUGCUACUCCUUCGGGUGUUGGUAUUGCCUCCCACGUGAUCUCUCCCUGUCGAUCCAUCUCUCAUCUAUUGUGCUUGUUUCUCCUGAUGUUGAGGCAAACCUCCUUGAUAGUUGGUUAGUGAUGUUUCUUUUGUUAAUUUUCCUCCAUUGCGCCGUUGUCUCGUCUUGAUGCAUAUAUUCUCGCUUUCUUUUCUGAUUUAGGUGUAAUGAUAAUGUCUCUAAGUUGGUUCGUUUGGUUUUUGAGGGGUGUGCAUAUGCAAACCCUGCUGUCUUGCACCCCCCUGUUCAUGAUUCGACUAUUACUCCCAUCUAUUAUGUUUUGUCCUAUGAUGCGUUUGUUAGUGCCUUUGCUAUUUCUUGAUGCUUUGGUAUACUUUAUUUUUUCAGGUACUGCCUUUGUUUAUAUUUGUUCUUGUUUGAUAAUGCUUUUGUUUGGAUAUCAUGAUUGGGAAACUGCAUGGAUUAAGGGUCGUGUAGAAGUUGCUUGGCCAUUGUUCACUUUUUGGCAUAUGGCCUGUCCUCAUUGUUAUGAGCUAUAUGAUUUUUCUGCCACCCUUGGAAUUCUAUACCUUGCUUGAGGUCAGGGAAUGUAUGAUUUCCCUAGGUGCAUCGUGGAUUUGUUAUUAGUUACUAGUUUUUAAAAAACCUAUGUAUUCCUUGGUUUCCUUUUUUUUUGGUGGUUAAUGUUAUUUUUGUUAUAGAGCAUGGGUCUGGGUCACUUUUCAUGAUGAUACUGGGUGUGUAAACGUUAUUGCAUUAGGUGUCGAAGCUGAGAAGCUAAUUGGUGUAAGCGCGCUUGACAUGUUUGAGGCUGCUGACGAUGAGGCUAUGUGUUGCUCUAUUCUCAUGCAUAGAUACCUGAACUUGGAGAUUUGCAUAGAUACCUGAGCUGACGAUGAGGCUAUGUGUAGCCAGACCUUUAAGUUGUACCAUCGUGUGGCUUGUCGAAUUGAACGAACCAGGCUCCUAUGCUAUUUUAAGCGUUCAUCCGAUGUGAUCAACAAAGUGACGUGCACUAAAUACGCUGUUGUUGCUUGCUACCCAGUUUAGAGAGGUUGUUUUUGGAUGCUUAUUUCUUGUGCAAAUUUUGUCAGCUCGUGAACUUCUUUGAGCUUGUAGCGGCGUCGGUAUUAGUUUUGAGGCUUAUAUGCUGUUGAUACUAAUAGUAGUAUUUAGUGGUUCUGUUCUUUUUAAAAAAUUUGAUUUGGGAUGCUCUGUUAUGCUGCCAGCUCAGAGCCUUUCUUCUUGGGCUGAGUUCUUAGGCAGCAGUAGUAUUUGGAAUAGUGAUAUGUAGACUGUAGACCACAUGUUUGUUACUUUAGACAAUUCAUUCACUGGACAAUUACUAGACUUUGUUUUGUUUCUGCGUAUCUAAAACCUAAGAUCUUUGUAUAGUUCUUUAGCCUUUGGAGUUUUAAGCAACAAACAUUCCU